rnacentral:rRNA from 1 species
GACGGGGGGGGCAAGUGUUCUUCGGAAUGACUGGGCGUAAAGGGCACGUAGGCGGUGAAUCGGGUUGAAAGUGAAAGUCGCCAAAAAGUGGCGGAAUGCUCUCGAAACCAAUUCACUUGAGUGAGACAGAGGAGAGUGGAAUUUCGUGUGUAGGGGUGAAAUCCGUAAAUAUCGGGAGGAACACCAAUGGCGAAGGCAGCUCGCUGGGACGUGACUGACGCUGAGACGCGAAAGCGUGGGGAGCAAACAGG